GACGAACGCUGGCGGCGUGCUUAACACAUGCAAGUCGAACGGAAAGGCCCUGCUUUUGUGGGGUGCUCGAGUGGCGAACGGGUGAGUAACACGUGAGUAACCUGCCCUUGACUUUGGGAUAACUUCAGGAAACUGGGGCUAAUGCCGGAUAGGAGCUCCUGCUGCAUGGUGGGGGUUGGAAAGUUUCGGCGGUUGGGGAUGGACUCGCGGCUUAUCAGCUUGUUGGUGGGGUAGUGGCUUUCCAAGGCUUUGACGGGUAGCCGGCCUGAGAGGGUGACCGGCCACAUUGGGACUGAGAUACGGCCCAGACUCCUACGGGAGGCAGCAGUGGGGAAUAUUGCACAAUGGGCGGAAGCCUGAUGCAGCAACGCCGCGUGCGGGAUGACGGCCUUCGGGUUGUAAACCGCUUUCGCCUGUGACGAAGCGUGAGUGACGGUAAUGGGUAAAGAAGCACCGGCUAACUACGUG
rnacentral:rRNA from 1 species